UACGGGAGGCAGCAGUGGGGAAUAUUGCACAAUGGGCGAAAGCCUGAUGCAGCUAUGCCGCGUGUAUGAAGAAGGCCUUAGGGUUGUAAAGUACUUUCAUCGGGGAGGAAAAACAAAACUAAUAAUUUUAUUUCUUGACGUUACCCGAAAAAGAAGCACCGGCUAACUCCGUGCCAGCAGCCGCGGUAAUACGGAGGGUGCUAGCGUUAAUCAGAAUUACUGGGCGUAAAGAGCACGUAGGUGGUUUUUUAAGUCAGAUGUGAAAUCCCUGGGCUUAACCUAGGAACUGCAUUUUGAAACUGAAAUACUAGAGUAUCGUAGAGGGAGGUAGAAUUCUAGGUGUAGCGGUGAAAAUGCGUAGAUAUCUGGAGGAAUACCUGUGGCGAAAGCGGCCUCCUAAACGAAUACUGACACUGAGGUGCGAAAGCGUGGGGAGCAAACAGGGAUUAGAUACCUU
rnacentral:rRNA from 1 species